AAGAAGAAAUAAAUGAGUAGAUGAAUAAAGGAAAAAUGAGGUACUGAAGAAGAAUGAAGACUUUCUAAUAUAUAUUCUUCGAUCAGAUGCUUGCCCUGGAAACCAACCAUGAUGCUGUGAUGAAAUCCAGGCAACUGAGUUGUGUUUCAGCCCAAAGCAGCAAAUGGGAUCCAGCUUCAGGACCAUCAUCUGACAUAGGGGAAGAAGACUUACAUAUAAUAUCUAACCAGCACCCAAGAUCAUGUAAAGCCAAAAUAUAGGCUAUGUCUGAUAUAAACAGUAAGUAAACAUGGUUUUGAAAUGGAAAUGGGCUUAGAAGUAGAUCUGAUGCUAUAAGUACCUCUAAUCCUGAUGCAAAUAUGCCAUUAGUGAAUUCUGUAAUAUAUGUAAGGUGAAAAUUUUUCUCAACAGGGAAAAAAAGUAAGAAUUUGAAAUAAGGUGAUGCGAGCUGGUCUAAUUUUCCACUUUGUGUCACAUGCUGAUGGCCCUCAUAAUUCAUACCUCGGGGAAAGUACAAGCAAGGCAGGAGAAGUCUGAAACCAUAUAAGUCCUACUGUAUUAGUGAAAGUGCCGAUUAGAGAACAUGUUAUAUUAUCAACAAGAAAUCAUGAGAGCAUUAGUGCAUAGUUGAGAAGGAAAAUAAUUUGGCUUAAGAGGAUUAGAAAUCCCCAGUUUCUAGUUAAAAGUAAUUCAACCACAUAGCAAAUAAACAAAUUCAAUAAUAUUUGAGGUUUAUGAUUAAAGAUAGCCAGAAGGAGAGAAAUGACAAUGUGAUGAUACAUGCAAAGCUUUGUUUUCAGAGCUUCUGAAAAAAAUCUGUUUCAGAAAUGUCUCCCAGGGGGGAGAAAAACAAAGCUUGCUGUUGCUGUUAAACCCUUGUGGCUAAACCAUUGUUUUGCAUUGAUUUGUAAUGUGUUCCUUUUUCCUAAGAAUGUCACAUUAUUUAUUGAAAUCAUGAUAUUAGAGUAAUUGAUAUACAGUUAAAGCAUUCUAAAAAAUAAACUUUACAAGAAUUGUGAUUCAUUUAUCUUUGAUUUUAUUGUUUUUUUGUGUGGGUCAUUUAUGCAUCAAUCUUCAAUACAGUUUCAUUUGCUUUAUGCUCAUGUAUUAUUUGUAAAGUCUGUUGAUGUUUCACCAAUGGUUAACAAAUCAAUAGAGACAGAAAAAAAGAGAAAGAAAA